CCGUUCUUAGUUUAGUGGAAUGAUAGCUUGUCAUGCUAGCGGGGGCCGUGUCUGAUGGCUAGAUCGGG
rnacentral:tRNA from 1 species